AGUAAUAACCAGGGUCUCUUCUUCCACUCUCUAUUUGUUCUUCCCUUUCUUCUUUCCCUCUCCACGUAGUCUCUGUCCAUGGAAGAAGAAUUCAAUCGGAAAUCGCCAAGAUUUUCAAGGAAUAGAAGAAAGGCAGUGAAAUUCUCAAGUAUGUUCAAGGGGUUAAACUUUGCAUUUCUUAUAUUCCUCACUUCUUGGAGUUUAAAAAGGUAUUGUAUUUCUACCCAAUUUCUUGUUUUCAAUUUUCUUGAAUUAGGCUUUGGUUCUUGAUAUAGUAUAGGGAACAAGUGAAUCUUGGAGCAGUACAAUUUGAUUACUCAACAUAUGAACUCUUUUUGUCCCAUGGUUUCUUGGUAUGAUGAGUUACCCGCUUCUUUUUGUUCUUUCUUGCAUUGUUCUUUUUCUCAUGUUUGCUUGAGGAGUUAACCGAUUCUUUUUCCCUUUCUUGUUCUUUUUUCUUUUUUCUAUUGAGGACACCUUGAAUCUUGGAAAAUCCACUAAGGUAGUGCUUUUGCUGACAAGACUGUUUUGGGCUAUCUUCUGGAGUUUUCAACACCUCUUAUCUUGGAGUUCUGCAUGAAGAUGAUGAUUGUUUCAUUGUAUGCCAAGGCUGACGUUAAAUUGAAGUUGAAGAUGUCUCAACACAAGAGAAGAAUUUUUCCUUCCGUAAGACGAGUUGAAGGACGUCUGCAGCUAUCUAAUGUUAACAUACAUUGUUGUAAAUUAGAAUACUUUGUUCAAGGGAGCCUUGGCCUUCUCUGUAAAUUUGCAUAGUGUGUUGUAAAAUGAAAUGAAAAUUUUCUUCCAA